rnacentral:tRNA from 1 species
UCCUCGAUAGCUCAGUUGGUAGAGCAAAUGACUGUUAAUGUAGAGCAAAUGACUGUUAAUCAUUGGGUCGCAGGUUCGAGUCCUGCUCGAGGAGCCA